ensembl:lncRNA
CCCCUCCCAACCCCGAUUCAGUGUCAUUUCUGUCAUGCAUUUCCUGUGCAAACAAAAUAUGAGGUAGGCCUACAAACGGACAUGAGAGUGGCAUAACGUCAGCCGCAGAUCUAUGAUACCGGAGGAACUGCGUCGUUCCGUCGCAGGGCCGCGGCGAUCCCGUCAUCCAUCAGUGCAUGGAUUUUAACGAAAGAGCGAUGGCCUGACGUCCGGUGUUUACGCCGCUCGUUUCAGCUUUCCACUAACUCUCACCGACUUUAAAUGAAAGCUCAUUUUCACAGACAGCUCAACAUGUCUUUCUGUCAAGAGCCGCAUAUGAGAUUGAACCAGGGGGAUGGACUGGGACUAUAAAACAGCCGGGGACAGAUGCUGGCCGAAUGCUGCUGUUGCAUGCUGUUAUAUAGUUCAUUUACUUCAGCAGGAUAACGUGCUAACAUGCAGCCCUGUUGCUUUUAACACAUGUGGAGCGAAUGGAGGCGACCUGUGGAGGCCACUCGCUGUGAACAGCGGCGUGUGACUGCAAGCAGACAGACUCUGUUGCUGCUGUCAGGUGGAGGGUGAAUAAUGUGCUAACGACUUAAACCAGCGGAGAGCGAGUGUGAGGACGACCGGAGAGCCAGGCGAGAAUGACGUGUUUUGCAGGACCGAGGCAGCAGAAAGAAAGAAAUAAAGAAAGAGAGACGGAAUGACACAAGGAACCGUACUGCGGCGUCGGGUCAGUGCUGCAGCAGAACUUUGAACGCGCUCUCCGGUUCCUCCAGGACACUGCCAGUCAGCGUUGCAACAGAAAGCACGUCAAUCACCUUGUUCGAAGGUUACUGACACUUCAUCAAAGCUGUAGCUCCUGAAGAAGACUUGCCAGCUCGUUUUCUCCUUCCUCUUCUGCAAAAACAUCAUCACAGGAUUCAUUUUGAGGAGAAUUACAAUAAAAGAAGCAAUAUGCAUUAUACAAAUUGAUGCUAUACAGCCUAAAUGGAUAUUGAUCGCACACAGCGAUUAAAGAGGGAAUAAAUCUGAGCAAAUAAAGCAUGCUUUGCUGAGAGAAAGGAUGACAGAGAGCAUCAGUAUGGGAGGUCGAGUACAGAAUCACAAACAGAAACAGCAAUGUUUGACCUCUGACUUCAGGUAACAUUAGAUAUCAGGAUGAUAUCCGGCCUCUGUGUACAGCUUACUGUAUCAUUUUCUCAGUAAAUACCCAUACAACCUACUACAUUUAAGAAAAUGUGAAGUACACACUCCAUCUGCUCUGGUUGUGUGUGUUGUUUAUGGGUCGAAGUCUCAUUUAAUAACC